UACGUAGGGGGCAAGCGUUGUCCGGAUUUAUUGGGCGUAAAGGGAGUGUAGGCGGUCUUUUAAGUCUUCUGUGAAAUCUACGGGCUUAGCCUGUAACGUGCAGAGGAAACUGGAAGGCUUGAGUGUCGGAGAGGAUAGGGGAAUACCCAGUGUAGAGGUGAAAUUCGUAGAGAUUGGGUGGAACACCAGUGGCGAAGGCGCCUAUCUGGCUGACAACUGACGCUGAGACUCGAAAGCAUGGGGAGCAAACAGG
rnacentral:rRNA from 1 species